rnacentral:lncRNA from 1 species
AGUCCUUCGCCGUCCCUCGCCGUCCUUCGCCAUCGCACGCCACCGCACCCCAUCUCUCGAAAUCUGCAGACAUCUUGAUUUUUCCCACGCUGUCUGUCAGGUCUCCGCCGCCACUCGACGCCAGGGCGCCGGGUGAGUCCACAGCAGGGCGCAUGGUCGGCUCCACUCUCACCAUCGGGGGAAACUGAGGCCCCGGGGAAGGCGGCCAGAGAGGUCAGGCCCUGUCCUUGGUGCAGUGUCUCGUCCUCUUUGCCGGAGUGAGCCCCCCAGGAUUCGCGUGUCCUCGGGAAAGACACUGGCAGGCCUUGUGGGCUGUGCUGCACCUCGGACGGCUUCGCACCAGCCAGCGCCCUCUCUCUCCUGCAGCACUCUGAUCUGCACCCCCUGAGGGGCUUCCACUGUCCGCGGGGUGAGAAUGCCCCUGGGAGUGUCACAUGACUGCCGCCCCAUGUGUGUGAGAGGCGUCCUCUGGGAGAGCAUGGAUCCUGAGGUCCCAGGAUUGUCAGCUGACCUCUGUCCUGUGUGCCCAGUGGCCCCAGGUGACGUGUCUUCAAGAAGAGGCUGAGCUGCGGUGCUUGUAAGAGUCAUGUGCUGUUCCUGGGGCUUGGAUGAUGUAGGGGAAGCAAGGUGAAAGUGGUAUCCCGUGGUUCCACGUUCUGUCCUGCUGUGGGGCUGUCCCUCACAUGCUUUCAGUGGCUGUUGCAGAGGAAGAGCCUCCGGAAAUCUGCGUGGGUAAAGUCUCAGCCUUAGAUCCAAGGACAGUCCAAGGAAGUCCUAAGACCAUGGAGUUGGUGAUCUGGGAUCUGGGUUUGCUGAUAUUUCUCACCGUGAAUCUCUUGGUGGUGUUUGUGGGCACGAGAGGGGCAGAGAAUGGAGAGUGAGGCUACCACAUGAAGCGUCACCAGAGCUGCUCCCUGCUGCCUGCUCAGAGCACCCCGGAUCCACUGUUCAAUCUGCACAAGAUUCGGGGUCCAGACAUGGGAGACUUCAGCUGCCUCAGAGGACCGUGGACAGGGAAGGCCAGCCUCGCAUCCCUCUGUCCAUGCCUGGAAUGACUUUAAUAACCAAGAGUUUUAUUUUUGAAUUUGUAGCUGUCGUUCACUUUUUACCCACCCAUUCAAUAAACCUUACAGAAUUGCUCCA